rnacentral:rRNA from 1 species
ACUGCUCAGUAACACGUGGACAACCUGCCCUAUAGUGGGAAAUAAUCUCGGGAAACUGAGGGUAAUAUCCCAUAGGCCUCCGAUACUGGAAUGUUCGGAGACUCAAAGCUCCGGCGCUGUAGGAUGGGUCCGCGGCAGAUUAGCUAGUAGGCGGUGUAAUGGACCACCUAGGCUAUAAUCUGUAAGGGUCGUGAGAGCGAUAGCCCUGAGACGGAAUCUGAGACACUAUUCCGAGCCUUACGGGGUGCAGCAGGCGCGAAAACUUUACACUACACGAAAGUGUGAUAAGGGGAUUCCAAGUGUGCUUAUACCAUAAGCACUUUUUCGGAGUUUAAAACGCUCCGGGAAUAAGGGGUGGGCAAGACUAGUGCCAGCCGCCGCGGUAAAACUAGCAUCUCGAGUGGCAGUCACACUUAUUGGGCUUAGAGCGUCCGUAGCUCGUCCGGAAAGUCUUUGGUGAAAUCCUGCAGCUUAACUGUAGGGCGCGCCGGAGAAACUACCGGGCUCGAGGGCAGGAGAGGUCGGGGGUACUUCUGGGGUAGGGGUGAAAUCCUAUAAUCCUAGAAGGACCAACAGUGGCGAAGGCGCCCGACAUGAAUGCGCCUGACAGUGAGGGACGAGAGCCAAGAGCGCGAAACGGAUUAGAUACCCGUGUAGUCUUGGCCGUAAACGAUGCUGACUAGGUGGGGUGCGACCUUAGAGGUCGUGCUAUGCCGAAGAGAAAUCGUUAAGUCAGCCGCCUGGGGAGUACGACCGCAAGGUUGAAACUUAAAGGAAUUGGCGGGGGAGCAC